GUCGAGACUAGAGUCACAUCCUGACAUCUCUCAUUGUCUUGUUGUGCUAUAGUUCUCGGAGAAAAACUACUGGUCUUUAUUCACUGACUGUUGCAUUUCAUGCCUCAGUUGGUCACCAGAUCAGUUACAUGC
ensembl:snoRNA